UGGGGAAUAUUGGGCAAUGGAGGGAACUCUGACCCAGCGACGCCGCGUGCGGGAUGAAGGCCUUCGGGUUGUAAACCGCUUUCAGCAGGGAAGAAGCGAAAGUGACGGUACCUGCAGAAGAAGCACCGGCUAACUAUGUGCCAGCAGCCGCGGUAAUACAUAGGGUGCAAGCGUUAUCCGGAAUGAUUGGGCGUAAAGGGUCCGCAGGUGGCACUGUAAGUCUGCUGUUAAAGAGUUUGGCUCAACCAAAUAAAAGCAGUGGAAACUACAAAGCUAGAGUAUGGUCGGGGCAGAAGGAAUUCCUGGUGUAGCAGUGAAAUGCGUAGAUAUGCGGAGGAACACCGAUGGCGAAGGCAAUCCCCUGGACCUGUACUGACGCUCAUGCACGAAAGCGUGGGGAGCAAACAGG
rnacentral:rRNA from 1 species